AUGGUCGAAUUUCUUCAGCGCCGCUUCRCCGCAGUCCCAAAAAUCGAGCUGGAACAUGACGGGGCGCCCGGUGUCACGCAGCUUCGCCGGCCAGUACACCGUGGUGGCCUCAAUGCCUGCGGAGAGGCGGCGCGUGGUCGGCGCCGCCAUGGCGGUGUUGUCCCCCCCCUCCCCCCCGCGCCCCCGGUCCCGCCGUACCCAGCGUUUCGUGGUGCGCGGCCGGCACCUCCGCGCCCACCAGCUUGGCCACCAGCGCCGUCUUGCCCACGCCGCUCUUGCCCGAGACGAAGAGCUUGUAGGCGGCCGUGGCGGUGGCCAGCGGCGGCGGCAGCACCGGGCGCUCCAGCAAGCCUGCGGGAACGCAGCGGGUUAGGGGACGUGGAGGGGGGCCUGAUCUGGGGGCCGGGGGGUGCGGGGGGUGCUCACCGAAAAUUCUCCUGCGGUCCUUGUGCAGGAUGGCGUCCCGGUGCUGCCGGCCCUCGGGCGAGAGCAGCCAGCCCGGCUCCACCACCGAGCCCGGCGCCGCRUCCAUGGCUGCGGGAGCGGGAGCCGUGGGGCUCGGCCCCCCCUGCCCCGAAACGGUGGGUGCGAGGCAGCCCCUGCCAAGCCCCGCGGGGUCCCCGCACCCCCCGAGCUUCAGGGUGCAAUUCACCCCCUCCUGCCCCCCCCUCUAAGGGAGUCUCAGCACCCCCUGUGGCCCUCCUGCACCCCCAAACCCUGCGAAGRGGGGUGCAAAACCUCCCCUCCUGCUCCCAGGGACCCCCCAGGGGCCCCCUGCACCCCCCAGGGGCUCCCUGCACCCCCAAACCCUGCAAAGGGGGGUGCAAAACCUCUUCUCCUGCCCCCGGGGACCCCCAAGGGGUCCCCUGCACCCCCAAAUCCUGCAAAGGGGGUGAAACACGUCCUCUCAUGCCCCCAUGGUCCCUGCACCCCCCCAGAGGCCCCUUGCACCCCCCCAGAGGCCCUCUGCACCCCACAAGGCCUCCUGCCCCCCCCAGGGGCCCCUGCACCCCCCAUAGGCCCCUUGCAUCCCCUUAA
rnacentral:lncRNA from 1 species